rnacentral:lncRNA from 1 species
GGUGUCAUGGUCAGGCCUUGGUCCUGCCAUGACUGACCCUGAACCGAGCAGCGGUCGAGACCGAGCUGGCGGGAAAGUGGUUCUAAGGAAUGAAGGCGUGCAUUCGGAGCUUUGGAACAUGAUGCUAACAUGUUGUAGGGGCAAUGGGAGCCCCGGGCCGCAAGAUACGCGGGGAAGUUCGGGACAAUGGUCGGACACCUUUAAGCCAAGUAUCCUGGCGGGUGCCAUUAGUGGAAGCAAUGUGCGGGCACCUUCGAGUGGGUUGGUGGAGCAGCGAGCAGUAUCAAGGAGCAAUGGUGACCAAAGGGAAGGUUACGGGGCCCUGAGUUAGCCGGAGAAAGACCCCGACAUGACUGGGCAGAAAAGUGUCCCCGUUUCAGACAUUCUUACGGUCACUGGUAGCGUAUUGGGAAAAUCUCUAACGCUCUUUAUAGGGGGAUGAUUUGGUGUCAGCUCUCCACCACCCCCUUGGCUAGCGGGCAGGCGGGGGCCUGGCUAGUCUGAAGUGAGCUACUCCUAGGCACUCGUGGUGUCUAGGUGGGCGGGCAUCGUAGGGUCACGAGCGUGGCACGAUGUUUUCUCGGGUAAGGUAAACCCGGGGACGGUUGGGGCCGGCGGGCCUCGUAUCGCGCCUUUGCAUUGAGACAGGGGGUUGGACGGUAGAAUCCGUUAUGCCCCUCGGUUUCCCCUCCUCGAGCCGGAAGGAUCAUGUGAUGGUGUUUACGUAUGAGGGAUGCCAUCGAGAAAAAGGGGCGUGCGGACUAGCGGGUAGGCAUGCUGCUAGACCCCUGCGGCCAGUCGGGAUGGUGUGCUGCCACUGGGGCAGUCCACCCAAGUCCCCUUGCGGGACCAGCAUGAUGUAGGGUGUCAAUCAUGCGUGCGGGUAGUCGAUACUGUUGCUAAGGGCCUGAGCCCUAAGAACCGAGUCUCGUGGGACGAAAUGAGCUUAGAGGCUCCGAGCUGGGCUGUUGACCAGCUUAGGUGGGGUGCUGGCGUAAACUCAAUAUAGGAGCCUGCGAAUGAUGCGGGCGGGCAUGAUGUUGGGUUCGCACCAUGUCAAGAGGCCUCAAGGCCAUGAGAACUGGGACUAUGCAUCCCUAUGAGCAUUCGAGGAUCGUGGACUGGAAUAGGGUUGUCCGCGACGAAAAUGGGCACGAUAGAAGGCUGACCUUGACUAGGAUUAGUCUUGGUGCCAACAACGGACGCGUGGUUUCAAUAGAAGGAACGCGCGGACCGUGACACUUGGUAUCAGAGCCUAGGUUGGCUCAGUGGCGAGAGUUACGCGACCCCAUGUGUGGGUCUGGUGAUGCGAAAUUACGGUGAAAGGAACCGUAGUGAGACCGAGAUCCGAAAAGGGUCUUACACCAUGAAAUGGUGUUGUGUCAGGCCACGUGGGCCGAGUGAAUCUUGUCCUGAGGGGCAGGAGGCGUCGAGUUGCAAGAUUAAUUACUAAUGUGUGCACUUGAUGUAUGGUGCAGGUGCCCCAGCGGGGGUGCAAGCCGAAGUAUUCGGGUCCAAGCAUAAGACUACGACACAGAAGAGUAUGAAGUGGCUGAAGAUUGAAGCCACAAGCGAGAUGGUCAGUGGACCAUGAGCUGCGUUGGUCAGUGGACCGUGAGUUCUUGUGGUCAGAGGAUCACGAGAGUGUGUGUGUGAACCAGGAUAUUGAACUUGUAUUGGCCGAAAGGGAAGGCUUCACGAGUAGUGGUGGUCAGUGGGCCACGACAGGAUGUUUUCCAGUGGAACAAGAAAGGGAAAACGGCCAGUUGACAAGGCCUCAGUCGUGCAAGUCAGUGGACCUUGAGGAUCGAGCGGGUGAAUCCCCGAGUCAAACAAAUCAGUGGGCUAGAAGUGCUGGUAGAUCAGUGGGUCUCCGAGUAUAAGCGGAUUUUGGGACGCCCUAGGAACUGGGCUGGAAUCAAAACUAUCGAGCAAUAGAACCAUCGAGGAGACAGGGUUGCGCAUAAUGCUGUGCCGAGUUUCCAGUAAAAGUGGGGGAGACCUAUCAAUUCCCCCCCCGAGACUGAGCCAAGAUAAAGGAGCUUGGGCGAUGGAGCAUAGUGUUCAAGCCGGGGGCAAAGACUGAAUUAGCACGCUUUAAGGUGCCGUCUUGGGGGCGGUUGGCCUGAGGGCCACACCUAGAGAGGUGACCUUGGAGGGGCCGAGAGGACCCAAGUUGGGAGAUGACCAAGGUGCUUGAAUGCCACUAUGCUAGGGUCAUCAUAUAGGGUGCCGUAUGAGUGCGGUUGACCUAAGCAUCACGUCCAGAGGGGCGCAUCAGUGAGUUGAUGCUGCAAGCGUGCAGUUGGUGUGAGGGGUCACGUCCGGUGGGACGCACCAAAUGAGUGGCAAAGCGGUGGUCAUUCAUUCUACUGAGGGUCAUUGAUCAAUGAGGGCACCUCGAGGUCGCAACCUGACAAUGAUCAAGGGAUGAAGCCAUGGUAUGACCCAUAUGAAUACAACCAAGAUAGGUUAGGCGGUUCGAACUACAACAAAGCUGAGCAACAAUGGGACCAAUCUACACCAACAAUGGACGAGUACUGUGCCUGGUGGCUCAUGUGACGGGACCUCGACCCAAUCCUUGAGAGCACCAGUGAGAGACAUAUGAGGAAAUGUCAGCUGUGUGCAACAGGAUAGUUGGGUGUGGUCUUGGCGUCGAUGAGGGCAUCGACAUAGUAAGUGGGGGAGAGUGUCAUGGUCAGGCCUUGGUCCUGCCAUGACUGACCCUGAACCGAGCAGCGGUCGAGACCGAGCUGGCGGGAAAGUGGUUCUAAGGAAUGAAGGCGUGCAUUCGGAGCUUUGGAACAUGAUGCUAACAUGUUGUAGGGGCAAUGGGAGCCCCGGGCCGCAAGAUACGCGGGGAAGUUCGGGACAGUGGUCGGACACCUUCAAGCCAAGUAUCCUGGCGGGUGCCAUUAGUGGAAGCAAUGUGCGGACACCUUCGAGUGGGUUGGUGGAGCAGCGAGCAGUAUCAAGGAGCAAUGGUGACCAAAGGGAAGGUUACGGGGCCCUGAGUUAGCCGGAGAAAGACCCCGACAUGACUGGGCAGAAAAGUGUCCCCGUUUCAGACAUUCUUACGGUCACUGGUAGCGUAUUGGGAAAAUCUCUAACGCUCUUUAUAGGGGGAUGAAUUUGGUGUCAGCUCUCCACCACCCCCUUGGCUAGCGGGCAGGCGGGGGCCUGGCUAGUCUGAAGUGAGCUACUCCUAGGCACUCGUGGUGUCUAGGUGGGCGGGCAUCGUAGGGUCACGAGCGUGGCACGAUGUUUUCUCGGGUAAGGUAAACCCGGGGACGGUUGGGGCCGGCGGGCCUCGUAUCGCGCCUUUGCAUUGAGACAGGGGGUUGGACGGUAGAAUCCGUUAUGCCCCUCGGUUUCCCCUCCUCGAGCCGGAAGGAUCAUGUGAUGGUGUUUACGUAUGAGGGAUGCCAUCGAGAAAAAGGGGCGUGCGGGCUAGCGGGUAGGCAUGCUGCUAGACCCCUGCGGCCAGUCGGGAUGGUGUGCUGCCACUGGGGCAGUCCACCCAAGUCCCCUUGCGGGACCAGCAUGAUGUAGGGUGUCAAUCAUGCGUGCGGGCAGUCGAUACUGUUGCUAAGGGCCUGAGCCCUAAGAACCGAGUCUCGUGGGACGAAAUGAGCCUAGAGGCUCCGAGCUGGGCUGCUGACCAGCUUAGGUGGGGUGCUGGCGUAAACUCAAUAUAGGAGCCUGCGAAUGAUGCGGGCGGGCAUGAUGUUGGGUUCGCACCAUGUCAAGAGGCCUCAAGGCCAUGAGAACUGGGACUAUGCAUCCCUAUGAGCAUUCGAGGAUCGUGGACUGGAAUAGGGUUGUCCGCGACGAAAAAUGGGCACGAUAGAAGGCUGACCUUGACUAGGAUUAGUCUUGGUGCCACACGGACGCGUGGUUUCAAUAG